GACAGUCUGGAUUUGUUCCCACUUUAAGCGCGAUCGGACAGAUAAGAUCGAUCGUGAUGGAUGACCCAAAUCAAAACAGGAUUGAUAUAAAUACAUCGCAUCAUACGGGAACCCAAACCCAAGUCGCCAGCUCCCGUCGGAGAAAAAAAAUCAGACACCGGAGAAGGAGGCCGACUGUCGACUGCCACCAUACCAGAAUCACCGUCGACCGCCAAAAAAAGUAAAAUUUCUCGUACCUGCUCGGAAUUUGAUUCCGAGCACCCUCGUGGCCAAAUCAGAGCAAAAGGAAUGAUGCAUGAGCUAGAAACCGCGGGCGAAGCCGCCACGGCAAAGUCUCAAAACCCCUCCGAUGAACCCCUUUCAGAUUUUCGUUUCACGUGAUUUUUCGAUCAUUGUGUCCACCGUCCUUUUCUGUGCAGGUUAGCCAAAGAAAGAACCUCAGUCGCAAAGGAGAACCGGUGGAGCCGCUGCAUCCGGAGGUCCCCCGCUGGUAGGUUUGGUUUUCUGUGAUUUUUCAGUCAACUGAGGCCCCUAACGUGUUUUUCUGCAAGGAUACGGCCAAAACCGCUCAAAACCGGCUAGGCCGAGACGAACCACCAUCGUGCUAGAACCCCAAAAUUGGCCGGAAUGAGUUUUGAACACCGAUUUUGGAUUUCUAGGGUAUUUUUAGGUACGUGAGAAGUGUUUUGG
rnacentral:lncRNA from 1 species